CCCUUAGAUGUUCUGGGCCGCACGCGCGCUACACUGACGAUGGCAACGAAUUUUUCCUUCGCCGAAAGGUGUGGGUAAUCUUUUGAAACAUCGUCGUGCUGGGGAUAGAUCAUUGCAAUUUUUGAUCUUGAACGAGGAAUUCCUAGUAAGCGCGAGUCAUCAGCUCGCGUUGAUUACGUCCCUGCCCUUUGUACACACCGCCCGUCGCUACUACCGAUUGAAUGGUUUAGUGAGGACUCCUGAUUGGCGCCGCCGCCCCGGCAACGGAGCAGCGGACUGCCGAAAAGUUGUUCAAACUUGAUCAUUUAGAGGAAGUAAAAGUCGUAACA
rnacentral:rRNA from 1 species